GACGUAGGGCGCGAGCGUUGUCCGGAUUUAUUGGGCGUAAAGAGCUCGUAGGCGGCUUGUCGCGUCGUUCGUGAAAACUUGGGGCUCAACCCCAAGCUUGCGGUCGAUACGGGCAGGCUAGAGUUCGGUAGGGGAGACUGGAAUUCCUGGUGUAGCGGUGAAAUGCGCAGAUAUCAGGAGGAACACCGGUGGCGAAGGCGGGUCUCUGGGCCGAUACUGACGCUGAGGAGCGAAAGCUAGGGGAGCAAACAGG
rnacentral:rRNA from 1 species